rnacentral:snRNA from 1 species
GGGCUUGUUUGGCAGCACACGUACUAAAACUGGAACAAUAGAGAUUAGCAUGGUCCCUGUGCAGAGAUGACAUGCAAAUUCAUGAAGUGUUCCAUAGUUUU